AGCCAAAGCAUUACUUUAAUGGAAGAAGUGAUCAAAUUAGCCCAAGAAAGCUAUGACAGAUGCCAUGGCCACCGAGCAGUUUACAAUUUGCUACCAUGGAAAGAGCAGAGAGGAAAGCUCAAGUCCUCAGUCAGAAUUUACCAGAACGCUGGAAUCCUGCUAUUACUGCAGUUCUGUUGGUUUCAUGGCUGAAUUUGCAAGUGGAAAUUUAAAAGUGCAUCAAAAAACCCCAACCCUGUCGUACCCAGACCAUCCUGGAUAAGCAAGAGAUACUGCAGCCAGCACUUGCUCCUGUCGCUAGACCAUUUCACAGCCUAUUGCAUUUGCUGAUUUAACAUCCUCCUACAAGGCUUCCGUGUGCUCGGGAAAAAAAAGGGAAGAGAAAAGGUUAUAUGUGCAGAUGGUAAACUGCUAAAAUGCCCAGAAGGUUCAAACUCAUCUGUGCUUGUGAAGACAAGGGAGACUUUCCCAUCGGCUGACUCCCAGGUGUUUGGAGCGCUGCGAGUCAGAGGCAGGCUCGGCAGCGCCGCGUCGCUGGAGCAGAUGCCCGAGGUGGUGCGGUGGGAACACGCAGGCUCCCUUCCUCCUGAUGUCCAAGCGGCUGAGAACGUUCGGAGCGCUCCAAGGAGCAAGGAGAUGCUGAACCAGGGAGUGACCGUUCUGGCUUGAGAGAGCGGCCGUUGGCUGGCGUACCCUUGAUGGCUGUGCUGAUGUGGCUCAGCGCUUGCCCUGGCUGCAGCCCCACGAAGCUGCCACCGCGUCCACCUCCACGCCCGAGGGAUGCGAGCCCUGCCAGGAUGCUGCGUUUACCGCGAAGGCACGGCGGCUGCACCCACACGGAGCCCGCAGACAGCGCCGAGGGACCCGCGGCCGUGCUUGAGCUGUCAACCACAGAUCUCAUCUAAAAUGUGUUGGCAACGAGGAAACAGUUGUACUUGGCGAGACGAGGAAAUAUUAGCAGAGAAGACGGGCACAGCAUCAAGACACGCAAGUUCAAGUGAUGUUCUGCAGAACCAAAACCAGACCCUUUCUGUGUCCACUGAUGGAGCCAGGCUCUUGUCAAUGAUGUCCAACGACAGGACAAGGGGCAACGGGCACAAGCUGGAACAGAAGAGGUUCCAAAGCAACACGAGGAAAAACUUCUUCCCUGUUGAGUUCCAGGAAAAAUGUCAACCAAACAGCUGUCUCAACAACCCCAUUUAAGGAGCUGCUCAAGAUGGAAGCUGUGUGAGUAAAAAAGCCUCCUGAAGCCAUAAAAGCAGCACUCUGGAUCUUAAGGUAAGAAAGCUCCAAAUUGCUGGGACACGUCACAACUUGUCAGUUUCUUAGCAGGUGCUUCUAAAUCGGGACUAGGAACAAAAGAAAAAGAUCACAACCUUUGAAAGGAAGUGGUGUGAUGGAACUGUGCAGAGAAGGGACAGAAAAACGUGUGCCAGAGGACUGGGGCUCCUAGCAUCUUCAGGAGGAUGCAGCCAACGCAGCAGGUCGCAAGCAGCCCACGUCAGUGGUUUGUCAUUGAUUUGAGGCACGUGGGACCAGGAAAACUUUUGCAGUGGUUCUCUGAGGCAACGUUUUAGUCAAGGAAAAGUUCCAGUCCAAGCUGGAAUUUGUUUCCCCUCUCUGGUGCAGGAGGAGCAGGCAGAGGCACAAAAGAAAUCUUCACCAUUGCUGGUAGCUGGAGAAGGAUGGCUGACCCUAUGGAACAGGAGGAAACUGCAGCUCCUGAAAGCAUCUUUCCAUCUCCGAGUGUCUCUUGGGACAGUGACACCAUGCAGUCACUAGCCCCAGGACAGUCAUGCCAGCCCUUAAACAUGGCACACUUACAAAGGACACACCAUGGGGCUACACAAAGUACUCUGCAACAAAGUUGGUAAGAUCCCCUGGAACCUUCAUUCCUCCAGGCUGAACAGUCCCAGGUGCUCACGCUCUCCUUGGAUGUCAGCUGCUCCACAUCCUUGGUCAUCUUUGGGAUCCUCUGCUGGAUCUGCUCCUGUAAGUUCAAGUCUCACCUGUACUGGGGAGCCCAGCACCAAACCUAGCACUCCAGGACAUGUCCCACCAGUGCUGAGCAGAUGAGAAAGAUUACUGCCCUCGACCUGCUGGAGAUGCUCUGCCUCCUGCAGCCCAUUCUCUUGUUAAAGUCUACCAGAUUGGCUAAACAUGCAACAACUUCUGUGACCUCGCUGGCUUGAUAGGAAAAAAGCUGAGUUACUUCUAAGGGAUCAUUUCUUUAAAGCUAUCUGACCUCCUGAUCACAAAAUAGCCCAGAGCAGACUAUAUGGAGUUCCCCAUGUCCCUUUGUUGUCCUCACCAAUGUGUCCUGAGCCCGGAGUCGUUCUUGCUCUGCGUGUCAUUUGCAUGGUUUGUUAUGAUGAUGAUUAAUGUUCCAAUCCUGAGCUGAUCUGUGUGGGCAUUUAUUCAUGUAACAUGCCUUGCUUGCCUGGUUAAUUCCUAGAAUGGGGUUUCAAGUACAUCUGGUCAAAACUGGCUUUCAGCAAGUAUUGAUAUUUGGCAAAAAGCACAGUAAUUCACAUACAUCACAACUUUGGGGGUUUUGACUGGAAAACUCAGGGAAACUAAGACACAAACUGAAGACAUUCACUUAAAGUGAGAGCUAACAUCACCAAAAGUCCUGAAAUUAUGAUGGAAGUCAAAUAUUUAACACAAAGACUUGAGCUUUCAUUUUGCUGUCAAGCUGCUGUGCAAACCCUGGUGGAAGGAGACCCCUAGAAACUGCAGAUCACUAACGGACCCCAGAGUCACGAGCUGCCCUGCCUCACGCCACUCUGCACGUGGCUGCUUUCCCGAGUUUUUCUUGAACAGAACAUCAACUUCUUUAGGUUGAAUUAGACAGAGAGGAGUAGAAACAUCUUCUGUAUCAUCUCCUUUAAUUCCCGAUGUCUUUGCAACAGCUGUCAGUUUCAGUUUGUUCAUCGAUCACUCAGUUGAGCAAGAGCAAGAAGAUGAAGGACCGCUCACCCCUUGAUGUCGUUAACAAGGCUGUCAGGCUUUGACAGCUUGAAUGAGGGACAUUUCACAAAAUUAUGAGUGAAAUUUUAAAUGUCUCAUUGAGGCAUACGACAAAAUCCUUCCCUGUCAAACCAGCACUUGUAGCUUUUGGGUUUUUUUCCCCUGACUCAGCAGUCUGCUCACAUCAGACCCAUCAGGUUUUUGGAAACAGCUCUCCUUUUU